rnacentral:tRNA from 1 species
GUUAUCAUAGCUUACAAUCAAGCAUAGCACUGAAAAUGCUAAGACGGCCUCCCCUGAUAACA